rnacentral:lncRNA from 1 species
GUAAGUGGCCUAUGGAGGACAGAGAUUUCCCCUGCCCCAUUAGGACGCAUGCUGGCCCUAACGACACGGGAACAAGAAGAGAGAAAUCGGCUGAGAAGUCAGUGACUGGGACUGAGCGGGCUUUGCACACCAUCUGCUUUUCCCAUCAGCAGGAAAACAGCACAGGGAAAUCCAUCAAGAAGCUUACACUGGCUAAGUCACAAGUCCUGAUGAGACAAGGAUUUCUUCUGUCCAGCCUGCCGUCCUGCACAGUAAGAGUGCCAGCCUUCAUUCACCAAGCACAAAAAGACUUUUAAGCUAACUUCAAUUUUACAUUCAAAUCAGGGUUUACCCAGAUAUUAUGUGUCCGAGUACCGUGACGUUAUAGAACUCAGCAGAGGAGAGCUGGAGAGGGGCCUGCAACGGUCUUUCCUGCGCUGCCACAGCUAAAAGGCACAGACAGCUCUAGACACAACCUGGGAGAGAAAGAGCCGGGGAAGGGGCCCUGAGUCACACAGCCGGAGAGGAGACGUGCCUUUCCAGGAGCCUGGCCUCUGUGGUGUAGAAUACACCCACAGAAUGAGGAAAGAUAGCCACUAACACUCAAAACAGACGCUCUGUUUUGUUAGUCUUCAUGACCUGAGCUAUAACUAGCUAACUGCAUAAACAAGGCAUACCUGGCAGCCAACUCGCACUGAUAAAACACUUGGUACAAGAAGAAACAUGCCAGCUCAAAAAGAAUAUGACACAGGAACACACAGAUGCCAACAGAAAUGUUCCCUUUAGACUGGAUGAAGCUUCCAGAUGAAGCAAAGCAGACCCUGUAUGAAUAAAAGCUGACAUUUU